rnacentral:rRNA from 1 species
UCGAGGAUAUUUAGCAAUGGGCGAAAGCCUGACUAUGUGACGCCGCGUGAGGGAUGAAGGCCUUCGGGUCGUAAACCUCUUUCGAUGGGAAAGAAACUUUCUGUCGCAAGGCAGAAACUGACGGUACCCAUAGAAGAAGCCACGGCCAACUCUGUGCCAGCAGCCGCGGUAAGACAGAGGUGGCGAGCGUUACUCGGAUUUAUUGGGUGUAAAGGGCAGGUAGGCGGUCGCGCAAGUUGGGGGUGAAAUCCUAAGGCUCAACCUUAGAACUGCCCUCAAAACUACGCGACUUGAGGCCGGAAGAGGAGAACGGAAUUCCCGGUGUAAGGGUGAAAUCUGUAGAUAUCGGGAAGAACACCAGUGGCGUAAGCGGUUCUCUGGUCCGGAUCUGACGCUGAGCUGCGAAAGCUAGGGGAGCAAACAGGAUUAGAUACCCUGGUAGUCCUAGCCGUAAACUAUGAGCACUAGGUGUUGGGGGCGAACCGUUCAGCGCCGCAAGGUAACCCGUUAAGUGCUCCACCG